GACGAACGCUGGCGGCGUGCUUAACACAUGCAAGUCGAACGGUGAAGCGCCUUCCUUUUUGGUGGGUGUGGAUGAGUGGCGAACGGGUGAGUAACACGUGAGUAACCUGCCCCCUUCUUCUGGAUAACCGCAUGAAAGUGUGGCUAAUACGGGAUAUUCUGGGUCUGUCGCAUGAUGGGUCUGGGAAAGAUAUUGUUUCGGUGGGGGAUGGGCUCGCGGCCUAUCAGCUUGUUGGUGGGGUGAUGGCCUACCAAGGCGGUGACUGGUAGCCGGCCUGAGAGGGUGGACGGUCACACUGGGACGGAGACACGGACCAGACUCCUACGGGAGGCAGCAGUGGGGAAUAUUGCACAAGGGGCGCAAGCCUGAUGCAGCGACGCCGCGGGAGGGAUGGAGGCCGUCGGGUUGUGAACCUCUUUCGCCAGUGAAGCAGGCCUGCCUCGUUUGUGGGUGGGUUGACGGUAGCUGGAUAAGAAGCGCCGGCUAACUACGUG
rnacentral:rRNA from 1 species